rnacentral:rRNA from 1 species
AGAGUUUGGAUCAUGGCUCAGGAUGAACGCUAGCGGCAGGCUUAAUACAUGCAAGUCGAGGGGCAGCACGGGUAGCAAUACCUGGUGGCGACCGGCAAACGGGUGCGGAACACGUACAGAACCUUCCUUUAAGCGGGGGAUAGCCCAGGGAAACCUGGAUUAAUACCCCAUAGCAUUGUGGUGUGGCAUCAUACUAUAAUUAAAGAUUUAUCACUUAAAGAUGGCUGUGCGUAUGAUUAGGUAGUUGGCGGGGUAACGGCCCACCAAGCCUUCGAUCAUUAACUGGUGUGAGAGCACGACCAGUCACACGGGCACUGAGACACGGGCCCGACUCCUACGGGAGGCAGCAGUAAGGAAUAUUGGUCAAUGGACGCAAGUCUGAACCNAGCCAUGCCGCGUGUAGGAUGAAGGUCCUCUGGGAUUGUAAACUUUUCUUUUUNUCCUGGGGACG